AAAGAUCUGUCUUAGUGAUUCAUUAAUCGGAAUCAGAAGUUGAAAUAUUGUGGAACGGAUUAAUUUUUGGGAUCUCUUGUUUGUGAUUAUCGGAAUUUUUGGUUACUCAGUUAACAGAUUUACGUUAUAUUUGGUCGGGAUAAAGCCGCAAAAAUGUUUCUCCCAAGUUUUUGCAAUCCUUCCGGAAAUCCAUUAGGCCAUUUCAUAAGGAACCGGGUACUAGUGCACGUUGUCCUUUAUUACUCUGAGUAUCGAGUCGAAGGAUAUUUAAUAGGACUAGACGAUAAUGGCUUCUGGGUGGUUGAUAGACCCGUAGAGUUAAACCAGAGGACUAGGAGGAGGCGUCAUCUUGGAGCCAGGGUACUUAUUGACGACGAUUACAUCGCUUACGUAGUUCCCGCUUAACUUCAAGUCAUUUACUGUAAACGCUUUUCUAACAUGUAAAUAAACGUUAUUCAAAAAAAUA